rnacentral:rRNA from 1 species
GAUGAACGCUAGCUACAGGCUUAACACAUGCAAGUCGCGGGGCAGCAUGGGGGUUGCUUGCAAUCCCCGAUGGCGACCGGCGCACGGGUGAGUAACGCGUAUCCAACCUGCCCUUCACCACGGGAUAACCCGGCGAAAGUCGGACUAAUACCGUAUGUUGUCCAUUGACGGCAUCCGAUUUGGACGAAAGGUUUGGCGGUGAAGGAUGGGGAUGCGUCCGAUUAGCUGGACGGCGGGGUGACGGCCCACCGUGGCGACGAUCGGUAGGGGUUCUGAGAGGAAGGUCCCCCACACUGGAACUGAGACACGGCCCAGACUCCUACGGGAGGCAGCAGUGAGGAAUAUUGAUCAAUGGGCGUAAGCCUGAACCAGCCAAGUAGCGUGCAGGAUGACGGCCCUAUGGGUUGUAAACUGCUUUUAUGCGGGGAUAAAGUGGCCCACGUGUGGGUCUUUGCAGGUACCGCAUGAAUAAGGACCGGCUAAUUCCGUG